rnacentral:rRNA from 1 species
UACAGAGGUGGCAAGCGUUGUUCGGAAUUACUGGGCGUAAAGGGCGCGUAGGCGGUUCGUUAAGUCCUGUGUGAAAUCCCCCGGCUCAACUGGGGAACUGCACAGGAAACUAGCGGGGCUUGAGUUCGGGGAGAGGGAUGCAGAAUUCCAGGUGUAGCGGUGAAAUGCGUAGAUAUCUGGAGGAAUACCGGUGGCGAAGGCGGCAUCCUGGACCGGCAUUGACGCUGAGUGAGCGAAAGCCAGGGGGAGCAAACGGG